rnacentral:rRNA from 1 species
UGAACGCUAGCUACAGGCUUACACAUGCAAGUCGAGGGAAACGAUAGAGAAAGCUUGCUUUUUCUAGGCGUCGACCGGCGCACGGGUGAGUAACGCGUAUCCAACCUGCCCAUCACUUGGGGAUAACCUUGCGAAAGUAAGACUAAUACCCAAUGACGUCUCUAGAAGACAUCUGAAAGAGAUUAAAGAAUUUCGGUUGUCGAUGGGGAUGCGUUCCAUUAGGCAGUUGGCGGGGUAACGGCCCACCAAACCUUCGAUGGAUAGGGGUUCUGAGAGGAAGGUCCCCCACAUUGGAACUGAGACACGGUCCAAACUCCUACGGGAGGCAGCAGUGAGGAAUAUUGGUCAAUGGACGAGAGUCUGAACCAGCCAAGUAGCGUGAAGGAUGACUGCCCUAUGGGUUGUAAACUUCUUUUAUACGGGAAUAAAGUGGGCUAUGUAUAGCUUUUUGUAUGUACCGUAUGAAUAAGGAUCGGCUAACUCCGUG